UCGCCUGUUUAUCAAAAACAUGGUUUCUUGGAAGAAUAUAGGAGAUCUGGCCUGCCCACUGAAUGAAGUUUUGAAGGGCCGCAGUAUUUUGACUGUGCAAAGGUAGCAUAAUCAUUAGUCUUUUAAUUAAGGGCUGGAAUGAAUGGUUGAACAAGGUAAAAACUGUCUGAUGUAAAUUGAUUGAAAUUGUAUUUUAAGUAAAAAGGCUUAAAUAUUAUUAAGGGACGAGAAGACCCUAUAGAGUUUAAUAUAUGAAGUGUUAAUUGAGUUAAAAAUUAAUUUUUGAUUAUAAUGAAGUGUAUUUAAUUGGGGUGAUUAAAAGAUAAGGAAAACUCUUUUUUAAAAUAAAUAUUUUAAAUAAUUUUUUGAUCCGCGCAGAGUGAUUAGAAGAUUAAAUUACCUUAGGGAUAACAGCAUAAUUCUUUUUGAGAGUUCAUAUUGAAAAAAGAGAUUGUGACCUCGAUGUUGGAUUAAGGUAAAUUUUGGGUGUAGAUGUUCAAAAAUUAAGUCUGUUCGACUUUUAAAACCUUACAUGAUCUGAGUUCAAACCGGAGA
rnacentral:rRNA from 1 species